AAAUCGACAUGUCUAGUUCCCCCAGAGCGAGGCUCCUCCAUUGCACUGCGGCGGGGUUGACCUCUGCGAUUAUCCCUAAUGCGGAUAACUCGGACGCGUAAGUUUUGGUAGUGGGGACUGCGUACGCGCUGUCCCCC
rnacentral:snRNA from 1 species